UUUUUUUGGGGGGGGGGAUUUACGCCGAAAAUAGUGUGAUGGUGAAGGGCUACGUAAAGGACAGGGCGCAGUUUGCUUCUGAGAAUCCCCGUCUAACUGUCACUUCCCAAUCACUUAUGUCCGGUAGCCUCUGAAUAUCUUUCGAACGUUAGAUAAUAUUAACAGUUAUACGAUAUACAUUUUUUAAAUUACAAGAAUAUGGGCAUUUUACAUUUUUUUUUAAAUCGCUGUCAUCGGUUUAAAACACAUAUAACUCCUGUUUAAUAUUACAAUAAUAUUCAUAAUAUUCAAACAAUCCCCCGCAUCCAAAUCUAAUAUAUAUUUUUCACGAACUCACCUUCAGAAAGCUCCAUUAGGAGGGAUUCACUGAUGAUCGUUUUUUUUAUCUGUCCUGACCGAUAAAUAUUCGGGGCUGUUGGCCUGUGGGUUUGUAGCUGCGCUAAAGCGGUGCUAACAGAGUGGGAAAGUAUAUGCUUCACUAGACUCGCUCCGCUUUUGUGUCCCUAACUAGAGGAAGUACGGAAUUAGUUUAUUGCCUUUUUGAUUUAGACCGGGGUGGGGCACCGAGCGCUGAUUAGAAAUAACAUUGUUUAACCCCGGGGGUCGGUCUAGACAUACUGUAUUCUUUCUGGGGUGUUUAACUUUUUACCCCCCCAACCACAUCCUCUGGGGUGUUUGAAUUUAAAUUCGGAUUUGAAAGACCUGUGUGUUAAUGAAUCGAAAGUGCCCAUUUUAAGAGACCCCGUCACACUUUUUGAUGGGGGGUAGGCAGAUAUCUGGACAUACUGUAUGCAUGAUAGUGCAAACCUUGGUUUCAAACGAUCCCCUACACAGAGAGAGAAAGGGCCUUGAGUGCAGAUGCCUGAGCAUUGUUGUUUUUGAAACACACACACACCUCGUGUUUUUGAAACACGCACACCCGCGCACGCACCCUGAUUUUCCGUAAGUCUUUUUCUCCUGGGGCAUGCUUGGUGAUAUAUGGAAAGGACAUAUUCCUAUCGUUAAAGGACCGGGGCGAGAGAGAAAACGAGAGAUCCCCUUUCGUUUAAGGAUAAAAGGUCCUGGUUAUAGGUGUUGACAUCCUGCCGUUUCCGAUUCCCCCCUACGCCAUGACAUUCUUGCACGCUCCAUCAAAGCUCGGUAAAUUUUCCCUCCAUGGGUAGAUAAUCCGUCCAGCAUGUAAAUCCUGGGUAUGCCCACAGCAUUAAUGAAUAAGAUGGGUAGAAAAUGAAACUGUUUAAGUCAUAAGUAAAGGCCUUUCAUAAAGAGGCUGUCAUGAUUGACUGUGACACAUAUUUAACACGUAUUGUUUGUUACAGAAGACUACUGUUGUACAUUGAAUAUCCACUAGAAGAUUUUUGUAGCAUGCAUCUCCACUAUAUCUGUCAUGUUACUGUGGUCUUUUUAAAAGUCAAUAAACAUGUAUGUAAAGUGUACACGUUUGUUUCACUGUAGAUUUGUUUAAGCCCACCUAGAAACACCUGAUUUAUCCCACAGCAUUAAUGAAUAAGCUGGGUAUAAAAUUAUUCUGUUUAAGUCAUAAGUAAAGGCCUUUUUAUAAAGAGGCUGUCAUGAUUGACUGUGACACAUAUUUAACACGUAUUGCUUGUUACAGAAGACUACUGUUGUACAUUGAAUAUCCAUUCAUCCCUGUUACACCUUUAUGUGUUGGCUCUCUAUGUCUGUACAUAGUGUGACAUGUGGUUUCCCUAAAGUUAUUACACCCUAAACCUAAACCUAAACCUGAAUGACCUUUAGGAUCUUUCUUUGGGGUUCUAAUCUCCCCGGUGUACAUGCACCGAACAUCCAUAGGCUGGAGCCACCUGGAAGCUCUGUGCAUGUACAUAUAAAGAGAACUAAAUAGGAAACUCAACAGUGUGUUAGGCCGAGAAACAUUAUUUAGAUGGCUGUUUUAUUGUUAUUGAAAGCUUGAAAUGUACACAAUGCGAAGGGACCUUGUUUCUAACACACACACACACACACACACACACACACACACACACACACACACACACACACACACACACAAUCACCCUCCCAGACAUUCCUGCUUCAUAGACAUGAAGCAUGCACACGCCAUCAUGUCAUUGGGUCAUAAAUCAAACGUUUGACGUGCGCCGUCUACUUUAUUCUCUCUUCUGUCUGUAAGCAGUUGUUGGAAAAAUGACUUGUGUCAUGCACAAUGUAGAUAGUUUGUUAAACAAGAAAUUUGUGGAGUGGUUGAAAAAUGAGUUUUAAUAACUCCAACCUAAGUGUAUGUGAACUUCCGACUUCAAUUGUAAGUAAGAAUACCCUGAAGCACUACUUAAGCUGGAUGGGGUAUCUGUACUUUACUUUACUAUUUAUAUUUUUGACAACUUUUACUUUUACACCACUCCAAGAAAAAUAGGACAAGAUUCCUGCCAUGCAACUGACCGAUUAAGAGUGCUACGAAACACUGUGGUUAAAACAGUUAUCACAGACAAUAUGACGAUUAACCAGUGGUGGAAAAAGUACUCAAUUGUCAUACUUGAGUAAAAGUAAAGAUACCUUAAUAGAAAAUGACUCAAAUAAAAGUGAAAGUCACUUAUCAAAAGUCAAAUUAAAAGUAUAAAUAAUUGUACCUUCCUUAUGUUAAACAAAACACUUAUGGAUGGCCAGGGGCACACUCCAACACUUAGGCAAUCAUUUACAAACAAAGCAUUUGUGUUCAUUGAGUCUGUCAGAUCAGAGGCAGUAAGGAGGAAGUUAUCUUGAUAAGUGUGAAUUUGGCAAUUUUCGUGUCCUGCCAAUCAUUCGAAAUGUAACAAGUACUUUUGGGUGUCAGGAAAAUGUAUGGAGUAAAAAGUACAUUAUUUCCAUUAGGAGAAUAAGGAGCUCUCCUCCUACUCUAGAUUAGAAAUUGGUGAUAGUUUCACUUAUUGCCCAAAUUAGACGUGAGACUUUCAGUUAAAAAAAUAUGUGUUUAGGAAUACUGUCAAAAUGUAUGACAUGGCCUGUAGUUUACUUUCUGUACUCUUGAAUAAAGGAACCAUAUCCCUGCCCUGCCCUACUGAAUGUUUUUUUCCUACCGAAUAAAUAAUCAGUAGCCUAAUUGUGAAGACAAAUUUCCGAUGUGGUUUUUCAAAGGCUUUACACAUAAGAUGCAAUGACAAUGGCCAUCCUUCCUUCCACUGUUGUUUUGAUUAUUUAAAAUAAAUUCUUGAAUAAUUAUAGGGUAAAGUGAGUUUCCCCACUGACAGCGCUUUGAGCAUCUGGAAUUUAAUUGAAUUAUUAUAGGUAAAUGUGUGUCGGAAGGUAACCUACACUGUGUAACAUCUGCUUUCAACACACACUCCAGAUCCCAAUCACCUGAAUUCUAAUCACCUGUUCACACACCUGUUAGUCAUUAGCACACACUAUUUAUUUCAGUUCUUGGCACCCCAUCACUGUGAGGUACUGUUUGUUCUGUGACACAUGUCUUUCAGCCUCCAGUAUUUAUGCUGCAGGAGUUUAUGUGUCGGGGGGCUAGGGUCAGUUUGUUAUAUCUGGAGUACUUCUCCUGUCCU